rnacentral:lncRNA from 1 species
GAAUGCCUGGUGGAGUCCUCCAUUCUCAUCGGUGAACUGAACUCCGGUUGCUCUUGGCUUCAGUUGCCCUGCAUCAGAAAUGGUGUAUCUGAAAUAUGGUACGUGAUUACUGAACUUACUCUUUCUAUUCAUGGCAUAUAAUUCUAUAUAACUCUAUUUUAGAAGAUAAUACAACUUGUAGGAGCUUUGGCCACACAUGUGUAAUUAUUUACCUCUCUGCGAGUUAAAGACUAUCCUGUUCACACUAGCAUGAAGCAGCACCCUUAGGUUGUUAGGGUCUCCAGCUGCAAGUAAGUCGGCUGCUGUGUGGCGGUAGCCAGUCUCAUCAAAGAUGGUGCCACCAACUUUGGUCCCAGAAACAUGGUCAUAUGUGUAGCCAUUGAAAGGAGAUACACCUGCUUGGAGUAGCCCAUCCCUUAGUGCAGCCUGCCAAGGUGCGAUCUUAGGCCACUGGACGAUCUUGUCCUCCACCCAAGGGAAGGACUCAUUCACCAGGUCUUCAUCCCAGCCUACCUCCUGGAUGAAGCUGUUUGUUUCAAGAACAAAAACACAUGGUAUACAAGUUAUUAGCAAUUUAACAUGUAGUUCACCAAUAACAAUUUAACAUGUAGUUCACCAAUAUGAAUAUCAAUAUAGAAGUAAAAUUCCUUCUUGAAGACUACGGGAUUAAGCUUAUCAAUUAUUGAUACCUUUUAAGUCACAUUGGCGUUUCUGGUAAUGAGCAGGUAUAUCACUAGGGAUGACUGAUGAGCACGGGUGUGUGGGGCCCACCCAUUGACCUAUUGUAAUUCGAUUCUGUACAAAUAAUUCGAAUGCAUAUGUACUAAUUGGCCCAAACUUGAAGUAGCCUCGAGUCUACUAGGGUUUUAGUUAUUUAGUGUCCUUUGCCUAGACAACUUAGUUACCAUGACUGCAAAGAAACAAUUAUAGCCCCAUGUGAUUUUGUUUUGUUGUCUCUCUCUUUUUUUUUUUCAUCAAUGUCUCUUUUCAAUCUAGUCUGUUUCAGUAACAUGUAGUUCAUGACUGCAAGAAGAGCAAGGAAGUCUUUUUAUUCACUGAGAAAACCACAGCAUGUGCUGCUGCCAGCGUAGUUAAUUAUUUGCAAUACCAGACUGAAGCACUUUAAUGCAAACCACUUUUGCAAUCUGCUUAUUUUCUUUAUGUUAUCAACUUUCUCACUAGUGCUCAUUUGUAUGCAAGCACUCAAAGUACAACCUUUGCUAAUUUUACAGCUGGAUUUUAUUUCGUUAUAUAUUGCAGAGCUGCAUUGUGAUAAAUCUCAAAGAAAGCCUGCAUUUUGAUAACCAUAAACUAGAAGUCUAGAAUCAUACCAACCAAAAUAUGUAGUCCUAGUGAACCGAUAAUCAUGUCCAAAUGCAGUGCUGGGUACGUUCUAGAGUGAGUGCUAGUAAUGCAGGUGGUGGUUUUAUGCAUUUGUGUCUUUUGGCUGGCUCAUUUUAGUCGAUUAGAACCUAUUUGAGCUACACUAAUUAGUGUUUGUUUGUUUCCCCGUUUUCCCUUUUCCAUUUGGACGCUGGAGAAAAGAAACAAGAGGUUGUAGCCAGAGAAUCCUAAUUGGCAGAAACUUUGGUUUCAUGGUAAUUGAAUGCUACUAUUGAGAACAGUGAAUAAUAUUUAGUGUUCUGCUGCACGUUUCAGCAGACAGCUAUUACUCCACUUGAAGGGUGAACAAAGGUGGCUGCAGUAUGCUAGGGUGGCAGCAGUCAAGCAGAUCUUACCAGUUACCAUUAGUAAUUUCUACUGGCACUAUCACUGCUCUGCAUUUACCCUAGAGCUGAUGUUUGUUCAUGUGAAAGUGAUAGGCCAUGUGUUGCAUAUACUGAGAGACUACUUGGUAUAUUUAAUCUACUUAUGCUAACUUCAUUUUAGGCUCUGCUAUUUGUGCUUGCCCUCUUAUGGUAAAGAAUAUAAUAGUAAAUUAUAUCUGAAGUCUUGAUCAUGAUUGAGACCAUUCUGCACUUCGGCAGUAAAAAAAAAGGUUAAAUUUGCAUGUGUGAACUGUGAAUUCUCUUGCAUAUGUUUGUGUGUAUAUAUUAAUGCUGACCAUUCUGCACUUCGGCAGUAAAAAAAAGGUUAAAUUUGCAUGUGUGAACUGUGAACUCUCUUGGCUGGUCACUCGUAGACGGAAGAGAACAAUCAUAAUCAGGUAAGAAUACUGAUACACAAGAUAGCAUCCAUAUCUGUGCAAUGCAAUUGCUUACUUUGAGCUGGCCCGGCUGUAGAAGCCGGCAUUGAUGCAGGUGCCACCUCCCAACACCCUCGCUCGGGCAUUGAUGACGCCGUCAGUGGAGAUGAAGGCCUGAGACGCCGAGUCCGGC